rnacentral:lncRNA from 1 species
AAAAAACUUCAAAAAGGUUUCAAAAAUGCUCUCCCCUUCCUUGUCCUCCGGCCAGGGCCUGGUCAUAGGCCGGUCAUCGGCCACCGCGUCGGCCGCCGAUCUCCGGCACCGUCACCGCCGUCUGCGGUGGCCGAAAAAAGGGAAAACGACCCUUUUGGCUCUCUUGACCUUCCCAAGCCCGGAUCUGGGCUCAAAAUUCCCAAAACAUCAAUAAAAAUGCCCCGAAAGCCCAAGAAGCCCUUGGCUCCCGGUCGUCUGUCAUCGGAGACGACACCCUCGGCCAUCGACGGCGAUCUGGG